rnacentral:rRNA from 1 species
CAAUAGCGUAUAUUAAAGUUGUUGCGGUAAAAAAGCUCGUAGUUGGAUUUCUGUUGAGAACGACCGGUCCACACAACGUGUGCGCAUCUGGUUCGGUCUCGGCAUCCUCUCAACCGACUACUCUGCGCUUGAUUGCGUGGAUAGGAGAUUGGGACUUUUACUUUGAGGAAAUUAGAGUGUUCACGGCAGGCUAUCGCCAGGAUACAUUAGCAUGGAAUAAUACUAUAGGAUCUUGAUCCUAUUUUGUUGGUUUCUAGGAGCAAGAUAAUGAUUAAUAGGGACAAUUGGGGGCAUUCGUAUCAACACGUCAGAGGUGGAAUUCUUGGAUUGUGUUGCGACGAACUACUGCGAAAGCAUUUGCCAAGGAUGUUUUCAUUGA